CGCGAAUGGCUCAUUACAACAGCCUUAAUUUACUUGACCUUGACAACCUACUUGGAUAACUGUGGUAAUUCUAGAGCUAAUACAUGCCCUAAAGCUCUGACCUCGCGGGAAGAGUGCAUUUAUUAGAUCAAAACCAAGCGGCUUCGGCCGUCUACCACUGACUUAAAGUAACUAAGCUGAUCGCACGGUCUUGCACCAGCGACGUGUCUUUCAAGUAUCUGCCGUAUCAACUUUCGAUGGUAGUGUAUCUGACUACCAUGGUGAUCACGCGUAACGGAGAAUAAGGGUUCGGCUCCGGAGAGUUCGCCUGAGAAAUCGCGAACACAUCCAAGGAAGGCAGCAGGCGCGAAAAUUACCCACUCUCAGCACGAGGAGGUAGUGACGAAAAAUAACGAGACCGUUCUCUUAUGAGGCCGGUCAUCGGAAUGGGUACAAUUUAAACCCUUUAACGAGUAUCUAUGAGAGGGCAAGUCUGGUGCCAGCAGCCGCGGUAAUUCCAGCU
rnacentral:rRNA from 1 species